CCGAUUGUUCCUGACAGCCUUUUAUGCGAUUUACUGUCUCCUUCUCGUACAUCAAAGGGAGAGAACGACCUACCCUUACCUACAUGUCCAGACAUAAAGGCGGAUCUGUAGUGGAGCGAGAACAGUCGACCAUCACCUGGAAUAUUCGAAUUCUCGUCUUCCAGGAAACAAAACCUAAUCGAGGAAGGUGUUGGAACGAGACAGGACAGCAUUCCAUCUUUAUUUCAAGUAUUAAUUGACCAAAGUCAAUUAGAGUCAUAAAUAAAAGAGUUGAAAUGGAUUAACUCGCGAAUCUAUUCAUGUGUAGAAGAGGAAGAUCUACGCGUCAACUACGACAACUUUACCUCCACCUAGGGAUCGAAUCCUCCAGGUAAAACCGAUAAUAUUCCAGCGUUGACUAAUGAAGUCUUUAAAAAUUGAUAAACGAGAUUUUAAUCUCAUGAAAUCAUUAGUAAUUUGGAGCUCUAGACAGAUUAAUGACUUCCGGAAGUCCCUUAACACUCUAGACUCACGAAACGUCUAGUCCAAUCGUUAUAAUUUAUUAAUUCUCAAUUGUCUUAGCAAAAAAUCCUGCACUACACGUAUAAAUUGUGCAAAAAAUCUUGUAGCAUUGUUUCGUUAUUUCGUAUUAAUAUCUCGCUUUUAGUCGUUUAGAUAGGCCCUUCGUGUAGGAAAAGGCACGUACACAUUUAUCUACAUAUUUUGCAAAUACGUAAUGAAUAUCAAUCAUGGAGAAAGAAAAAAAAAAUAUUUUCCCUUCAAAAUACGAUGGAAUCACACUGAAUACAAUCAACUGUUAAAUCAAUUCAUCGAUUAUUGCAAAUAACAAUUCAACAACGCGAUAGUCUAUCUCCCGAAAUGCUUUGCCUUCGGAGAGAAUAGAGAGACAUGUUAGAAUAUCAAUAAAUUUAAUUAGUUUACUCAAUUAAUCUGAUUUCUCAGGGGAGGCAAUCCAAUCACUCGUCUCUCUUUCCCUCCACGAAAGACUAACGAAUAAACUAAGUGUCCCAUAGAUGAAUUAAUUGAUUAAACAAUUAAUUAAUUCAUUUAAAUAUCCACCAUCUCACUGAAUUCACUCUGAAUUUCUAUCAUAUUUUCAGACAUUUUAUCAGAAUUUUUAUUAUUAUUUCGUGUAAACGUUUAUAAUAAUUAUAAUUUACAAUUACGAUGAUUGAUGAUAAAUACAAAUAGAACAACGUAAUUUUCAGAGGGUUCAGGGAGCAGGAGGGGUAGGAAGGGUAUGAGAUAAAAGAGGGAGAUGUAAUGGGAGGGAUAAGGGAGCUUUUCAAUGGGAAAAAUGGGUACAGAUGUUACUUUCUUCUCUCUCAAUAAUUUAUCAUUUCUCAUUAAUCAUUAGCCGAUGGGUGAAUUUUCCGUUGAUCUUUUGCCUUCCCUUCUCGCACAUAUUCUAUCUAUCAUUAAUUAAAUUCUUAAUAAAAGUGCUGAAUUAUUUUUCAUUUGCGAAGGAUGACAGCGCAAUUGUUAACAAGGAGUCAAUAAUCUCUCAUUUCUUAACUUCAACAACACCAAAUCAAUUUUGAAACGUUAAAUUGUAGGGAAAUUAAUUUACCAAUUGAAAAUAAAUCAGCUAAAUUGAAAAUAAAUUAAUUAACCCGACGGGAAAUAUUCUGGAAGCGCGUGUGGAAAAAGAAGAGAAUCUUUGGAUUGAAAAACAAAUGGAAAUCAGUUGAAAAAUAACAAAUUAAUUAAACUUUCGCACUUUAUAAUUGCUCCUUGAUCGACAGUUGUUCCUCUUGCUUGCGACAAACACCGAUACAUCGAAAAAUAUCAACACGACAGCGAAACGUUUAUCCGAACGUAUAAUUAUUCAGUAACGACUUGAUUCAUCAUCCGCAAUUUACAUAAAAAUGCAUGAGGGAGAGAGAGAGCGCUUUGUUUAACAGCAACGACGCACUUUAACGUUAUUGUGCGUAACAAAUACACAUUGUACUCGUUGAAGACAGGCUUGAGGAAUUUUUGUCGAGUGAUUGACGAAUGUCUAGACAAUAUUCUCAAUUGAUUAUUCAAUAAAUGUCUUCAUCAACAAGUUUGUCAUCCCACAGCACUCAUUUUUUUUAAUGAAAAAUACAAAUGAGAAGAGAUUGAAAACCAGAUGAAUAACGUUGAAAUGUUUUUUCGAGUGUAAACCACAGCCACACAGUUAUCUCCUCAUAAUUUCAUAAUUAUUAUACCAUUUUAACAAUAUGUAACACGAAUUUACGUACAAUUAUUCCGGUAUAAAUAUUCAUGAUUUAAAUUCUACCGAAUAGAAGAGGUGGGGGAUGUAGUGGGCGAGGAAAAGAGGUUUUCGUUAAAAUGAUGUAAGUACGACUUAUUUUCACUGUCUUGCGUACGUUCUAAUGACUCGGUGGAAGUCGAAGCUGUCGAAUUGAAAAGACAGAUGAUAUGAUUAUUCAUUUAUUUGAUUUCUGAAGAUAAUUGGACUGUCCUGAUUGAAUCCCGGACUAGGGAUAUUGACUCUUGUCAUUGUUGAUUCCAAUUGACUACAGAAUUCUCUUCUUCAAUGAUCGAUGGUGAUAAAAAAAAAUUGAGGGGAAAAAAAGGCAAAAGGAAGGAAAGCGAAUGCGAGAGAAAAAGACGUGCCUCAUUUACGAGAUAAAUUGUGAGCAUUUUUUUUUUAUAUCAAUCAAUAAUAUUCUCCUGUUCUUAUAUUAUUUCAUCAAUUAAUUAAUUGUAAGUCGAAUGGGAAAAAAUUAAGUUACCACUUUUUGUCUUUUCACUUUUCCAACUUAAUAACUUAAUUCACUUUAUAUUUAUCAAACUCUCCUUUCUCCUCAUGCGCUCAUUUCUUUUUUUUUUUUCAUUUAAUAAUAUUUCGUAUUCUCUAGACAAAUGUGAAAUUUAAUUCAAUGACAAACUGGGUAUAAUGUAUUAAAGUUUGAUGAGUUAUUUUAAUUCUUUCAUUUUCGUUCUGGAUUUCAAACUCAUUAUUAUUUUUUUCUCAUUGAAAUUCAUUUCUCUUCAGUUAUUUAUCUUUCCCCUCAUUCGUCAUCAAGUCCUCGCCUUCCUGUCCCAUUUAAAUCUUCCAGGGGGGAUCAUUACUCCACAGAAACAUCAUCAAAUAUCCAUUCAUUCCAUUCAAUGUUGAAUUGAAAAAAAAAAACAGUUCUUAAUUUUUUCUUUUCGUCUUAUUUAUUUUCUCACGCUUUUACAAAUAAAAAAAAAACUGUUCUCUUUCUCUCUCGCGCGCGUCAACCAUUUCCAAUCGUUUUUUAAUAAUUUUUGGUGAUUAAUAUCUGAACAGGGUCCAUUUCGUCGUCCCCUCCCAACUCAAUCCACCUCUCAUUCAUUAAUUUAUUCUCAAUUAAAACCCCAUAGCCUUAUCGAGCAUUUGGUUGAUCAAAUUAAAUACUUCACCUCAAAUCGACCACAAUAAUUCAAUUAAAACAUUAUCAAUUGGAUGACAUUUGUUUUGGUCCAUUGGAUUGCGUGCAGAGAGAGAGAACACAAUUUAUUCAUUUCCAUUAAUUUCUUUUAAUUAUUAAAUUUGUUUUCUUAUCUCGUCGCACAUUAAUUUAAUUCAAGGACACGACACGGCACGGCGGGGACAGUUGCAACUCUUGAUUUUUUUAUUUAUUUACCUCGAGUAUCAUUAAUUUAUCUCGUGGCUUUUUUUUUCAUUUUCUGCUGGUGGAAGUGUAGAUGUGAAUUACUUUCGCCCACUGGGAGAAGAACGAGGAAAUGAAGUCGGAGAACAACGAGGAAAUUCAUUGAUGGAGAAUGAGACGGGGAGGGAAUGACAGGGAUGGGAAUUUAUAAAUUUUCUUGAUUACCUGGAGAACAAAAUAUUUCGUGGAUGGAGCGAUGGGUGAUAUCGGGACAUGUGGACUCUCGUGAGCUUUUUUUCUUUCUGAUUCUUGUUGUUGAUUCUUUUUUUUUUUU